rnacentral:rRNA from 1 species
GACGAACGCUGGCGGCGUGCUUAACACAUGCAAGUCGAACGAAGUAGAGAACGGGUGAGUAACGCGUAAUCAACCUGCCCUUCAGAGGGGGACAACAGUGGGAAACGACUACUAAUACCGCAUACUGAAGGAGGGGAUGGCGUCGGAGUAGGUAGUUGGAGGGGUAACGGCCCACCAAGGCGAGGCUCAGUGGCCGUGCUGAGUGGAGGAACGGCCACAAUGGGACUGAGACACGGCCCAGACUCCUACGGGAGGCAGGAGUGGGGAAUCUUCCGCAAUGGACGAAAGUCUGACGGAGCAACGCCGCGUGAGUGAUGACGGCCUUCGGGUUGUAAAGCUCUGUUAAUCGGGACGCGGUACCGGAAUAGAAAGCCACGGCUAACUACGUGCCAGCAGCCGCGGUAAUAC